rnacentral:misc_RNA from 1 species
GAUGAAGAACGUAGUGAAAUGCGAUAAGUAAUGUGAAUUGCAGAAUUCAGUGAAUCAUCGAAUCUUUGAACGCACAUUGCGCCCGCCAGUAUUCUGGCGGGCAUGCCUGUCCGAGCGUCAUUUCAACCCUCGAACCCCUCCGGGGGGUCGGCGUUGGGGAUCGGCACUUACCUGCCGGCCCCGAAAUACAGUGGCGGUCUCGCCGCAGCCUCUCCUGCGCAGUAGUUUGCACACUCGCACCGGGAGCGCGGCGCGUCCACGGCCGUAAAACAACCCAAACUUCUGAAAUGUUGACCUCGGAUCAGGUAGGAAUACCCGCUGAACUUAAGCAUAUCAUAAGCGGAGGA